rnacentral:rRNA from 1 species
GACGAAGGAUGCAAGCGUUAUCCGGAUUCAUUGGGUUUAAAGGGAGCGUAGGUGGCCUUAUAAGUCAGUGGUGAAAUCUUCGAGCUUAACUCGGAAAUUGCCAUUGAUACUGUAGGGCUUGAGUACAGUUGCUGUGGGCGGAAUAUGACAUGUAGUGGUGAAAUACAUAGAGAUGUCAUAGAACACCGAUUGCGAAGGCAGCUCACAAAGCUGUAAACUGACACUGAGGCUCGAAAAGUGCGGGGGAUCAAACAGG